rnacentral:rRNA from 1 species
GACGAACGCUGGCGGCGUGCUUAACACAUGCAAGUCGAACGGAAAGGCCCUGCUUUUGUGGGGUGCUCGAGUGGCGAACGGGUGAGUAACACGUGAGUAACCUGCCCUUGACUUUGGGAUAACUUCAGGAAACUGGGGCUAAUACCGGAUAGGAGCUCCUGCUGCAUGGGGGGGGUUGGAAAGUUUCGGCGGUUGGGGAUGGACUCGCGGCUUAUCAGCUUGUUUGUGGGGUAGUGGCUUACCAAGGCUUUGACGGGUAGCCGGUCUGAGAGGGUGACCGGCCAUAUUGGGACUGAGACAGCGCCCAGACUUCUACGGGAGGGAGGAGUGGGGAAUAGUGCACUAUGGGCGGAAGCCAUAUGCAGACACGCCGCGUGCGGGAUGACGGCCUUCGGGUUGUACCCCGCUUUCGCCUGCGACGAAGCGUGAGUGACGGUAAUGGGUAAAGAAGCACCGGCUAACUACGUG